AUUGAACGCUGGCGGCAGGCCUAACACAUGCAAGUCGAACGGUAACAGGAAACAGCUUGCUGUUUCGCUGACGAGUGGCGGACGGGUGAGUAAUGUCUGGGAAACUGCCUGAUGGAGGGGGAUAACUACUGGAAACGGUAGCUAAUACCGCAUAACGUCGCAAGACCAAAGAGGGGGACCCUCGGGCCUCUUGCCAUCGGAUGUGCCCAGAUGGGAUUAGCUUGUUGGUGGGGUAACGGCUCACCAAGGCGACGAUCCCUAGCUGGUCUGAGAGGAUGGCCAGCCACACUGGAACUGAGACACGGUCCAGACUCCUACGGGAGGCAGCAGUGGGGAAUAUUGCACAAUGGGCGCAAGCCUGAUGCAGCCAUGCCGCGUGUAUGAAGAAGGCCUUCGGGUUGUAAAGAACUUUCAGCGGGGAGGAAGGGAGUAAAGUUAAUACCUUUGCUCAUUGACGUUACCCGCAGAAGAAGCACCGGCUAACUCCGUG
rnacentral:rRNA from 1 species